rnacentral:rRNA from 1 species
UUACUGGGCGUAAAGCGCACGCAGGCGGUCUGUUAAGCUAGAUGUGAAAGCCCCGCGCUCAACGUGGGAGGGUCAUUUAGAACUGGCAGGCUAGAGUCUUGGAGAGGGGAGUGGAAUUCCAGGUGUAGCGGUGAAAUGCGUAGAGAUCUGGAGGAACAUCAAUGGCGAAGGCAACUCCCUGGCCAAAGACUGACGCUCAUGUGCGAAAGUGUGGGUAGCGAACAGGAUUAGAUACCCUGGUAGUCCACGCCGUAAACGAUCAUCACUCGCUGUUGGCGAUAUACUGUCAGCGGCCAAGCGAAAGUAUUAAGUGAUGCACCUGGGGAGUACGCCGGCAACGGUGAAACUCAAAGGAAUUGACGGGGGCCCGCACAAGCGGUGGAGCAUGUGGUUUAAUUCGAUGAUACGCGAGGAACCUUACCAGGGCUUAAAUGUAGUAUGACCGGUCUGGAAACAGGCCUUCCCUUCGGGGCAGAUUACAAGGUGCUGCAUGGCU